AAAGCAUGAUGAGGAAAUUUUUUUAGCAUCUCUUUAUAUCUCUCCCAUGCCUCAAAAAGUGACUCUCCCUCUUUUUGAGUGAACAUAUGAAUGUCAUUCCUAAACCU